rnacentral:rRNA from 1 species
CUACGGGGUGCAGCAGUAGGGAAUCUUGCACAAUCGACGAAAGUCUGAUGCAGCAACGCCGCGUGUGCGAUGAAGGCCUUCGGGUUGUAAAGCACUUUUCUGAGGGAAGAGAAAGGACGGUACCUCAGGAAUAAGUCUCGGCUAACUACGUGCCAGCAGCCGCGGUAAGUACGUAGGAGGCAAGCGUUAUCCGGAUUUAUUGGGCGUAAAGAGCGUGCAGGUGGUUUGGUAAGUUGGGUAUGAAAUCUCCUGGCUUAACUAGGAGAGGUUGCUCAAAACUACCAGACUAGAGAACGGUAGAGGAAGGUGGAAUUCCCGGUGUAGUAGUGAAAUGCGUAGAUAUCGGGAGGAACACCAGUGGCGAAGGCGGCCUUCUGGGCCGUUCCUGACACUAAGACGCGAAAGCAUGGGUAGCAAACGGGAUUAGAUACCCUCGUAGUC